GGGGAAUCUUCCGCAAUGGGCGAAAGCCUGACGGAGCAACGCCGCGUGAGUGAAGACGGCCUUCGGGUUGUAAGGCUCUUUUGUCCGGGACGAAAGACGGGUAUAGGAAAUGAUACCUGAGUGACGGUACCGGAAGAAAAAGCCACGGCUAACUACGUGCCAGCAGCCGCGGUAAUACGUAGGUGGCAAGCGUUGUCCGGAAUUAUUGGGCGUAAAGCGCGCGCAGGCGGCCUUUUAAGUCUAUCUUAAAAGCGUGGGGCUCAACCCCAUGAUGGGAUGGAAACUGGGAGGCUGGAGUAUCGGAGAGGAAAGUGGAAUUCCUAGUGUAGCGGUGAAAUGCGUAGAGAUUAGGAAGAACACCGGUGGCGAAGGCGACUUUCUGGACUGUAACUGACGCUGAGGCAUGAAAGCGUGGGGAGCAAAC
rnacentral:rRNA from 1 species